GUGUACCUAUGAUGAAAAUUACAGGCCUCUCUCAUCUUUUUAAGUGGGAGAACUUGCACAAUUGGUGGCUGACUAAAUACUUUUUUGCCCCACUGUAUAUUGAUACUUGUAAGACUAUUCUUUGACACAUUUUCUCUUCCUUUGAAAUUCUUAUAGGACAGAACAUGGACACAAUGCAAUUGGGAUCAAGAAGAAGGACUGGAGACCACAGCAGCGAUUCUGCUCUUGCCCUACCUCUUCAAUGAGGACCCGAGUGGCCUUUAUGUCCGUGACAAGAUUUCACCGCUCUUCACUCCUUUACUGCAC